GCGGCCUACCAUGCAGUCGAGCGGAUGACGGGAGCUUGCUCCUUGAAUUCAGCGGCGGACGGGUGAGUAAUGCCGAGGAAUCUGCCUGGUAGUGGGGGACAACGUUUCGAAAGGAACGCUAAUACCGCAUACGUCCUACGGGAGAAAGCAGGGGACCUUCGGGCCUUGCGCUAUCAGAUGAGCCUAGGUCGGAUUAGCUAGUUGGUGGGGUAAUGGCUCACCAAGGCGACGAUCCGUAACUGGUCUGAGAGGAUGAUCAGUCACACUGGAACUGAGACACGGUCCAGACUCCUACGGGAGGCAGCAGUGGGGAAUAUUGGACAAUGGGCGAAAGCCUGAUCCAGCCAUGCCGCGUGUGUGAAGAAGGUCUUCGGAUUGUAAAGCACUUUAAGUUGGGAGGAAGGGCAGUAAGUUAAUACCUUGCUGUUUUGACGUUUCCUACAGAAUAAGCACCGGCUAACUCUGUGCCAGCAGCCGCGGGUAAUACAGAGGGUGCAAGCGUUAAUCGGAAUUACUGGGCGUAAAGCGCGCGUAGGUGGGUUUGUUAAGUUGGAUGUGAAAUCCCCGGGCUCAACCUGGGAACUGCAUCCGAUACUGGCCAGCUAGAGUACGGGAGAGGGUGGUGGAAUUUCCUGUGUAGCGGUGAAAUGCGUAGAUAUCUGAAGGAACUACCAGUGGCGAAAGGCCACCAUCUGGACUGAUACUGACGCUGAAGUGACGAAAGCGUGGGGAGCAAACAGGAUUAGAUACCCUGGUAGUCCAUGCCGUAACGAUGUCUACUAGCCGGUGGAGGCCUUGGAGCUUUAGUGGCGCAAGCUUACCGCCUAUAAG
rnacentral:rRNA from 1 species